rnacentral:rRNA from 1 species
GCAUAUCAAUAAGCGGAGGAAAAGAAACCAACCGGGAUUGCCCUAGUAACGGCGAGUGAAGCGGCAAGAGCUCAAAUUUGAAAGCUGGCUCCUUCGGGGUCCGCAUUGUAAUUUGCAGAGGAUGCUUCGGGAGCGGCCCCCAUCUAAGUGCCCUGGAACGGGCCGUCAUAGAGGGUGAGAAUCCCGUCUGGGAUGGGGUGUCCGCGCCCGUGUGAAGCUCCUUCGACGAGUCGAGUUGUUUGGGAAUGCAGCUCUAAUUGGGUGGUAAAUUUCAUCUAAAGCUAAAUAUUGGCCGGAGACCGAUAGCGCACAAGUAGAGUGAUCGAAAGAUGAAAAGCACUUUGAAAAGAGAGUUAAACAGCACGUGAAAUUGUUGAAAGGGAAGCGCUUGCGACCAGACUCGCCCGCGGGGUUCAGCCGGCAUUCGUGCCGGUGUACUUCCCCGCGGGCGGGCCAGCGUCGGUUUGGGCGGCCGGUCAAAGGCCCCUGGAAUGUAACGCCUCUCGGGGCGUCUUAUAGCCAGGGGUGCCAUGCGGCCUGCCCGGACCGAGGAACGCGCUUCGGCUCGGACGCUGGCAUAAUGGUCGUAAGCGACCCGUCUUGAAACACGGACCAAGGAGUCUAACAUCUACGCGAGUGUUCGGGUGUCAAACCCGUGCGCGCAGUGAAAGCGAACGGAGGUGGGAACCCCCCCGGGGUGCACCAUCGACCGAUCCUGAUGUCUUCGGAUGGAUUUGAGUAAGAGCGUAGCUGUUGGGACCCGAAAGAUGGUGAACUAUGCCUGAAUAGGGCGAAGCCAGAGGAAACUCUGGUGGAGGCUCGCAGCGGUUCUGACGUGCAAAUCGAUCGUCAAAUUUGGGUAUAGGGGCGAAGACUAAUCGAACCAUCUAGUAGCUGGUUCCUGCC